rnacentral:lncRNA from 13 species
CCCGCCCCCUGCCCCUCCCCGCCUCGCGGCACCUGAGCCAAUGGCGCGGCGCGGGGGGCGGGCGGGGCCCGGGGGACGGUAAAGCCCUCCCGGAGUCAUUCUCUCUGCACUCCGUCAAGUCCCCGCGUCUCAGCGCGGGAGCCAAAGGGCCUCCCUCCAGCCGCGCGGUCCUGGGCAGCCCGCGCCCCCUGUUCCUCUGGCCCUCGGGCCCCGGCGCCCCUCCGGCCCUCCCCCGCCUGCCGCGCGGAGGCGGUUCCUCUUCAGGUGGCCGGACCGGGGCCUUCCCCGGUAGACCUGUCACCCGACACCCAGGAAGCGCGCGGCCGGGUCCCGGCUUCUCUUUGUUCCCCCGCCGGGCUCCGCGCUCGGGCGCCGCCUCCUCUCGCGGGGCAGUGGAGGUUUGGGGCGCCGCCCUCGGCCAGGGCCGGGCGCACCUCAAGUUCCGUUCCUGCCGCCCUUUCUGAACCCGGGUCCUUUUUGCCUGGCUUCUCCAGUGUAGACUCCGCGCGGAGCUGGGAGGCGGUGGUGCGCCCAGCCCGGAGCCGGCGCAGUGAGCCCGAUGGGCACGAUUCUGCGGAUCUCUGAUCCGAGGCAGUCUUCGGAGAAAACUGUCCUGGUGGCCUCAUCGUGGCCUGAACAAUCCCAGAGGAAUCUGCCCCAAGCCCAGCUCUCAGCCUUGAUCCCCACAUUCCCCGCGCGGCUCUCGGUUCGGACCUCGGCGCGGAGCGGCAGCCUCCACCACUGCUCGUUUCUUUAAGGCUCACGGCCUCCCCUUCAUGCGCCUGCGGGGGAGUUAGAAGGACCUCUGGAGUUGGCCUUACACAAAGAAGAGAAAAUUCCAGGAUGCCGGCCUCACUUGUGAGGAUUUCGUUUAUUCUUUUUCUACUACCGGGGCCCAGUGGCUCCUGGAGUGAGCCCCGCACCCCAGACACCUGAGUUUGUAAUGGUUCUGUGGCAGCCUGUGCUGCGAGUAAAGCAGCUCUGGGCCCCUCUCCCGGUACCUCAUGGGGAGACAGGGCGACAGCGGAGUGUCCCGGGCCUGCCCG